rnacentral:rRNA from 1 species
AGGGUUUGAUCAUGGCUCAGGACGAACGCUGGCGGCGUGCUUAACACAUGCAAGUCAAGGAGAACGGAUCCUUCGGGAUACUGUUAAACUGGCGAACGGGUGAGUAACGCGUAGGCAACCUGCCUUGGAGAUUGGGAUAACCCCGGGAAACCGGAGCUAAUACCAAAUAAUGCAGCGGAUCCUUCGGGAUAUGUUGUUAAAGUGGGCUUCGGCUCACACUUCAAGAUGGGCCUGCGUCCGAUUAGCUUGUUGGUGAGGUAAUGGCUCACCAAGGCGAUGAUCGGUAGCUGGUCUGAGAGGAUGAUCAGCCACACUGGGAUUGAGAUACGGCCCAGACUCCUACGGGAGGCAGCAGUGGGGAAUUUUGCGCAAUGGACGAAAGUCUGACGCAGCAACGCCGCGUGAUCGAUGAAGCUUCUAGGAGUGUAAAGAUCUGUCGUGAGGGAAGAAAAAUCUGGAUGUAAAUAAUGUUCAGACGUGACGGUACCUCACAAGAAAGCACCGGCUAACUUCGUGCCAGCAGCCGCGGUGAUACGAGGGGUGCUAGCGUUGUCCGGAAUUACUGGGCGUAAAGGGUUCGUAGGCGUCUUGCCAAGUUGAUCGUUAAAGCCACCGGCUUAACCGGUGAUCUGCGAUCAAAACUGGCGAGAUAGAAUAUGCGAGGGGAAUGUGGAAUUCCUGGUGUAGCGGUGACAUGCGUAGAUAUCAGGAGGAACACCAAUGGCGAA